UACGUAGGUGGCAAGCGUUGUCCGGAUUUACUGGGCGUAAAGAGCGCGCAGGCGGUCGUGCAAGUCGCGUGUGAAAGCCCCCGGCUCAACUGGGGAGGGUCACGCGAUACUGUUCGACUCGAAGGCAGGAGAGGGAAGCGGAAUUCCCGGUGUAGUGGUGAAAUGCGUAGAUAUCGGGAGGAACACCAGUGGCGAAGGCGACUACCUGGCCUGUUUCUUGACGCUGAGGCGCGAAAGCUAGGGGAGCAAACGGG
rnacentral:rRNA from 1 species